CAUCCUGUUCUUGGCCUCAGUCAUACUGUCACUGGAUUGUCUAUCUCAGCCAUCUCCAGCAACGGCAAAAUCAAGGCUGGCUCCUGUAUGAUUCAACGUGCUUCCGAAAAUAGGACUGACAUGGGUGUGCAGAAUGGGAGCCGCCUGGGCGCAAAGUGCCAGUAUGGCUGGGAUUUCAGCAGUUGUCGAGAGCAAGGGUCCUGCCUCUGUGGGCUCUCUAAUCACUAUGAGCCGAGCUGAGUAUCAUUGCCCCCACCAUCGCCAACUUCCUCCUCUGUUCCUGUGCCCUCAACUUUGGCUGUCUCUACGCCUCCCUUACCUGGUUGUCUGGUUAGUGUGGGCAGGUGUUCAGGU
ensembl:lncRNA novel transcript